rnacentral:ncRNA from 1 species
UCUUAUCCUGAGUGGUGGAGGGACAUGGACCCAAUGAAACCCAGCAACCUCUUCUCGAGCAUGAAGAAAGGUGCCAAACCGUUUGCAGACAUAGCGUCUGAACGAUAAGA